rnacentral:rRNA from 1 species
GACGUAGGGCGCGAGCGUUGUCCGGAUUUAUUGGGCGUAAAGAGCUCGUAGGCGGCUUGGUAAGUCCGCUCUGAAAGCCCGGGGCUCAACCCCGGGAGGCGGGUGGAUACUGCUGGGCUCGAGUCCGGAAGAGGAGUGUGGAAUUCCUGGUGUAGCGGUGAAAUGCGUAGAUAUAUGGAGGAAUACCAGUGGCGAAGGCGGCCUCCUGGCUCGAUACUGACGCUGAGGUGCGAAAGCGUGGGGAUCAAACAGG